UACGUAGGGGGCAAGCGUUGUCCGGAUUUAUUGGGCGUAAAGAGCGUGUAGGCGGCCAGGUAGGUCCGCUGUGAAAACCCGAGGCUCAACCUCGGGACGUCGGCGGAAACCAUUUGGCUAGAGUCCGGAAGAGGAGAGUGGAAUUCCCGGUGUAGCGGUGAAAUGCGCAGAUAUCGGGAAGAACACCCGUGGCGAAGGCGGCUCUCUGGGACGGUACUGACGCUGAGACGCGAAAGCGUGGGGAGCGAACAGG
rnacentral:rRNA from 1 species